ACGUUGGCGCGGUUCAGUGGUAGAAUUCUAACUUGCCAUGUUGGAGACCUGGGUUUGAUUCCCAGCCAAUGCA
rnacentral:tRNA from 1 species